rnacentral:rRNA from 1 species
AUUGAACGCUGGCGGCAGGCCUAACACAUGCAAGUCGAACGAGUGGCGGACGGGUGAGUAAUGUCUGGGAAACUGCCUGAUGGAGGGGGAUAACUACUGGAAACGGUAGCUAAUACCGCAUACCAUCAGAUGUGCCCAGAUGGGAUUAGCUUGUUGGUGGGGUAACGGCUCACCAAGGCGACGAUCCCUAGCUGGUCUGAGAGGAUGACCAGCCACACUGGAACGGAGACACGGUCCAGACUCCUACGGGAGGCAGCAGUGGGGAAUAUUGCACAAUGGGCGCAAGCCUGAUACAGCCAUGCCGCGUGUGUGAAGAAGGUUUUCGGGUUGUAAAGUACUUUGAGCGGGGAGGCGUUACCCGCAGAAAAAGCAACGGCUAACUCCGUGCCAGCAGCCGCGGUAAUUC